AGCGUAGGCGGACAUUUAAGUCAGGGGUGAAAUCCCGGGACUCAACCUCGGAAUUGCCUUUGAUACUGGGUGUCUUGAGUAUGAGAGAGGUGUGUGGAACUCCGAGUGUAGAGGUGAAAUUCGUAGAUAUUCGGAAGAACACCAGUGGCGAAGGCGACACACUGGCUCAUUACUGACGCUGAGGCUCGAAAGCGUGGGGAGCAAACA
rnacentral:rRNA from 1 species